GACAACACAGCUUAAUACUAAUCUGACAGCGAUGAUUCCUGAAGGAUAUAUACAUAUACACAUUCGGUCAAGGGCCGUUUGCCGUUACAGUACGGGCGAGAUGUAUGGAUCUUCGAAUCAAUUAGAUCGUCUUCACCACCACCUGGUGCCGCGAAAUGGAGAGUGGCUGUCCCUUGUCGUUAAUAGGCGGCUAUUGGCCAGCACCAAUGUGACAAGGGGCCACUCGACGGCUUGAUUAAUGGAUGCACCAGGAAUCACCACACACGAUUAUGUCCUUUGGCCGGCAAAUUAAUUGAUAAAGAGGAAAAGAUAAAUACAACUUACAUAGUCAUUCAUGAAUGGAACCGGGGUCGAACAACCGGACGGCCAGGUGAGAAACGCAGCAGCACACAGCGGAAUCACUGGGUGAUCCUUGAGGUAUACCAGAUUUUCUUCCAUAAUUUGUGUUGAUCGAAUCGGCCUGCAUGCGGUGGUGUUGCCGCUGAUGGGCGAUGUUGAAUUUCCAGACAACAAAGGAUGAAAUAACCAUGCGGUCGUCCACUCGAAACUUGUAUCACCAGGACACUACACUGCCUGGUGCCGCCGUGAUCCAAUCACGACCUUUCGCGCCGUGUUUACCGCCUGCGAUGCUGCGUGCGAUUCUCUGUUUGUGCGUCGUGUGCCUGGCCACCCGGGUAUCCACUUUCGGCCAUUUUUUUAUUUUUAUGAUUUGUAAUGAAAAGAAAUUGUAUUUUAAUUUUAAAUAAAUUUUAAAUAUUUUACUGACAUUUUGUUUUUUGUUU